rfam:Fomitopsis pinicola FP-58527 SS1 unplaced genomic scaffold FOMPIscaffold_69, whole genome shotgun sequence.
GCUUCCGUAGCUCAGUUGGAAGAGCGCAGGUCUCAUACUGACGUAUGAAGGUUGUCUUGUGCCUGCAAUCCUGAGGUCGACGGUUCGAACCCGCCCGGGAGCA